GACGAACGCUGGCGGCGUGCUUAACACAUGCAAGUCGAACGAUGAAGCCUAGCUUGCUAGGUGGAUUAGUGGCGAACGGGUGAGUAAUACGUGAGUAACCUACCUUUAACUCUGGGAUAAGCCUGGGAAACUGGGUCUAAUACCGGAUACGACCAAUCUCCGCAUGGGGUGUUGGUGGAAAGCGUUAUGUAGUGGUUAUAGAUGGGCUCACGGCCUAUCAGCUUGUUGGUGAGGUAACGGCUCACCAAGGCGACGACGGGUAGCCGGCCUGAGAGGGUGACCGGCCACACUGGGACUGAGACACGGCCCAGACUCCUACGGGAGGCAGCAGUGGGGAAUAUUGCACAAUGGGCGCAAGCCUGAUGCAGCGACGCCGCGUGAGGGAUGACGGCCUUCGGGUUGUAAACCUCUGUUAGCAGGGAAGAAGAGAGAUUGACGGUACCUGCAGAGAAAGCGCCGGCUAACUACGUGCCAGCAGCCGCGGUAAUACGUAGGGCGCGAGCGUUGUCCGGAAUUAUUGGGCGUAAAGAGCUUGUAGGCGGUUUGUCGCGUCUGCUGUGAAGGCCGGGGCUUAACUCCGUGUAUUGCAGUGGGUACGGGCAGACUAGAGUGCGGUAGGGGAGACUGGAAUUCCUGGUGUAGCGGUGGAAUGCGCAGAUAUCAGGAGGAACACCGAUGGCGAAGGCAGGUCUCUGGGCUGUAACUGACGCUGAGAAGCGAAAGCAUGGGGAGCGAACAGGAUUAGAUACCCUGGUAGUCCAUGCCGUAAACGUUGGGCACUAGGUGUGGGGAACAUUCCACGUUUUCCGCGCCGUAGCUAACGCAUUAAGUGCCCCGCCUGGGGAGUACGGCCGCAAGGCUAAAACUCAAAGAAAUUGACGGGGGCCCGCACAAGCGGCGGAGCAUGCGGAUUAAUUCGAUGCAACGCGAAGAACCUUACCAAGGCUUGACAUAUACUGGACCGCAUCAGAGAUGGUGUUUCCCUUCGGGGCUGGUAUACAGGUGGUGCAUGGUUGUCGUCAGCUCGUGUCGUGAGAUGUUGGGUUAAGUCCCGCAACGAGCGCAACCCUCGUUCUAUGUUGCCAGCACGUAAUGGUGGGGACUCAUAGGAGACUGCCGGGGUCAACUCGGAGGAAGGUGGGGAUGACGUCAAAUCAUCAUGCCCCUUAUGUCUUGGGCUUCACGCAUGCUACAAUGGCCGGUACAGAGGGUUGCGAUACUGUGAGGUGGAGCUAAUCCCUAAAAGCCGGUCUCAGUUCGGAUUGGGGUCUGCAACUCGACCCCAUGAAGUCGGAGUCGCUAGUAAUCGCAGAUCAGCAACGCUGCGGUGAAUACGUUCCCGGGCCU
rnacentral:rRNA from 1 species